rnacentral:lncRNA from 1 species
GAGGGAAGCCGAUGUUGAGUGGGAAUCGACCACCCUUCAGUCUAUUUAAUGAACCUCGCCCUUCUCUUUAGAUCCCAUUCCCAAGUCACUGGAAAUCACUGAAGCCACCAUUGUUUCCUCCCUCUCCUCCUCUUAGAAGACCACUGAUCAAACUCACUAUAACGAUAAGAAUAGUAGCAAAUCCCUUGUUGGAGUUGAGAUAACCAUUCUGAUCCUUCUUUUCC